rnacentral:rRNA from 1 species
GAUGAACGCUAGCGGCAGGCUUAAUACAUGCAAGUCGAGGGGCAGCAGGACUGUAGCCCUACAGUUGCUGGCGACCGGCAAACGGGUGCGGAACACGUACGCAACCUACCCAAAACUGGGGGAUAGCCCGGGGAAACCCGGAUUAAUACCUCGUAACCUUUUUAAGUGGCAUCACUUGAUAAGUAUAGCUCCGGCGGUUUUGGAUGGGCGUGCGCCUGAUUAGGUAGUUGGUGCGGGUAACGGCCCACCAAGCCUGCGAUCAGCAACUGGUGUGAGAGCACGACCAGUCACACGGGCACUGAGACACGGGCCCGACGCCUACGGGAGGCAGCAGUAAGGAAUAUUGGUCAAUGGACGCAAGUCUGAACCAGCCAGGCCGCGUGAAGGAUGAAGGUCCUCUGGAUUGUAAACUUCUUUUAUGGGGGACGAAACCCGGAUAUUCUUAUCCGAUUGACGGUACCUCAGGAAUAAGCACCGGCUAACUCCGU